UGUUUCUGUAUCCGUAAGGUGAACCUGCUGCAAGAUCAGGUA
rnacentral:rRNA from 1 species